UACUACAAGGUUGCUAUGUGCUUCCUAUUAUUUAUAAUUUGUAUUAUUUUUUUUAGAUUCUUUUUUUUAAAAAAUUAUACUUCAUAAUAUACCACUUUAUUUUCUAAUAUGGAUUUAAACAUUGUUCAAUCAAGAAAUCAAGAUUCUUAUUUAUGUUGAAUUUUUUUAUGCAAUAGUUACUCUAUAGUUAUAAAAUCACUAUCUUUUUCAUUUCAUUCAGCCUUUAAAAUUGUUGCACUUGUAAUUACACCAUAGAAUCUACUAACUUAUCCAGCAC
rnacentral:lncRNA from 1 species